ANUAGCAGUGAGGAAUAUUGCGCAAUGGGGGAAACCCUGACGCAGCAACGCCGCGUGAGUGAAGAAGGCUUUCGGGUCGUAAAGCUCUGUCAAGUGGGAAAAAAGUCUGAUGAUUAAUAGUUGUCAGAUCUGAUGGUACCACUGGAGGAAGCACCGGCUAACUCCGUGCCAGCAGCCGCGGUAAUACGGAGGGUGCAAGCGUUGUUCGGAAUUACUGGGCGUAAAGGGCGUGCAGGCGGGUUGGUAAGUCAGAUGUGAAAGCCCUGGGCUCAACCCAGGAAGUGCAUUUGAAACUGCCAUCCUAGAGUAUGGGAGAGGAGAGUGGAAUUCCCGGUGUAGAGGUGAAAUUCGUAGAUAUCGGGAGGAAUACCGGUGGCGAAGGCGACUUUCUGGCUGAAUACUGACGCUGAGGCGCGAAAGCGUGGGGAGCAAACAGGAUUAGAUACCCUGGUAGUCCACGCCGUAAACGAUGAGAACUAGAUGUUGGGGGUGUUGAUCCCUUCAGUGUCGCAGCUAACGCAUUAAGUUCUCCGCCUGGGGAGUACGCCGGCAACGGUAAAACUCAAAUGAAUUGACGGA
rnacentral:rRNA from 1 species